rnacentral:rRNA from 1 species
AGCAGCCGCGGUAAUUCCAGCUCCAAUAGCGUAUAUUAAAGUUGUUGCAGUUAAAAAGCUCGUAGUUGAAUUUCGGGAUCAAUUAAUUGGUCGUGCCUCUGGUACGUACUGAUUUUAUUGGUUUCUCCCUUCUGACGAACCAUGAUGUCAUUAAUUUGGUGUCGUGGAGAAUCAGGACUGUUACUUUGAAAAAUUAGAGUGUUUAAAGCAAGCUAACGCUUGAAUACAUUAGCAUGGAAUAAUGAAAUAGGACGUUUGAUCCUAUUUUGUUGGUUUCUAGGAUCGACGUAAUGAUUAAUAGGGAUAGUUGGGGGCAUUAGUAUUCAAUUGUCAGAGGUGAAAUUCUUGGGUUUAUUGAAGACUAACUACUGCGAAAGCAUUUGCCAAGGAUGUUUUCAUUAAUCAAGAACGAAAGUUAGGGGAUCGAAGACGAUCAGAUACCGUCGUAGUCUUAACCAUAAACUAUGCCGACUAGGGAUCGGAUGAUGUUAAUUUUUUAAUGUACUCA